rnacentral:rRNA from 1 species
UACGAAGGGGGCUAGCGUUGCUCGGAAUCACUGGGCGUAAAGGGUGCGUAGGCGGAUUUUUAAGUCAGAGGUGAAAGCCUGGAGCUCAACUCCAGAACUGCCUUUGAUACUGGGAAUCUUGAGUUCGGGAGAGGUGAGUGGAACUGCGAGUGUAGAGGUGAAAUUCGUAGAUAUUCGCAAGAACACCAGUGGCGAAGGCGGCUCACUGGCCCGAUACUGACGCUGAGGCACGAAAGCGUGGGGAGCAAAC